CAAUCAAUUAAGUUCAAUCAAUUUAGUUCAAGAUGAAAUUCGCAAUCUUUGUUGCUCUUCUCGUUGUUUUCGCUGCUUUUAUUAGCGCUUUGCCACAAGACCCACCAAGCCCACCAGGUCCAAUGACAACACCAGCUGGUGAAGACUCAACAUCUUUUGGUGAAGACUCAACAUCUUUUGGCGAAGACUCAACAUCCUUUGGCGAAGAUUCAACAGUCCCCGCUAACGUCUAAAAUCUUCAUAAAUGAACACCAAAACGCGAAAUUGUAAUAGAUUACAGGCGUUUGAGAAUUAAUCAAAAACAUUCAUGUUCUUUUUCAAAUAAAUUGAAUAUUCCAACUAA